GACGAACGCUGGCGGCAUGCCUAAUACAUGCAAGUCGAACGCUGAAGCACUCUGCUUGCAGAGUGCGGAUGAGUGGCGAACGGGUGAGUAACACGUGGGAAAUCUGCCUAUAAGAGGGGGAUAACAUUCGGAAACGGAUGCUAAUACCGCAUAUAUUCUUGGACCGCCUGGUCCUUGAAAGAAGGACGGCUUUGCUGUCGCUUAUAGAUGAUCCCGCGGCGUAUUAGUUAGUUGGUGGGGUAAAGGCCUACCAAGACAAUGAUACGUAGCCGACCUGAGAGGGUGAUCGGCCACACUGGGACUGAGACACGGCCCAGACUCCUACGGGAGGCAGCAGUAGGGAAUCUUCCACAAUGGGCGAAAGCCUGAUGGAGCAAUGCCGCGUGAAUGAAGAAGGUCUUCGGAUCGUAAAGUUCUGUUAUUAGAGAAGAACAAGUCAAGGAGUAACUGUCUUGACUUUGACGGUACCUAACCAGAAAGUCACGGCUAACUACGUG
rnacentral:rRNA from 1 species